GACGAACGCUGGCGGCGUGCCUAAUACAUGCAAGUAGAACGCAGUUGCGAACGGGUGAGUAACGCGUAGGUAACUGCCUCAUAGCGGGGGAUAACUAUUGGAAACGAUAGCUAAUACCGCAUACUGUGAGAUGGACCUGCGUUGUAUUAGCUAGUUGGUGAGGUAAAGGCUCACCAAGGCGACGAUACAUAGCCGACCCGAGGGGAUGAACGAGCACCCUAGGAAUGAGAAACGGCCCAAACUCCUACGGGAGGCAGCAAUAGAGAAUCAUCGGCAAUGGACGGAAGUCUGACCGAGCAACGCCGCGUGAGUGAAGAAGGUUUUCGAAUCGGAAAGCUCUGUUUAUAGGGAAGCGGUGACUAACCAGAAAGGGACGGCUAACUACAUGCCAGCCGCCGCGGAAAUUC
rnacentral:rRNA from 1 species